rnacentral:misc_RNA from 1 species
AGGAAAGAUACUAUUGGUUAAUAAGAUUUGCCUUCAGCUUCCUUUUCUAUGCUAUGGUAGCAAUGAUGGUUACAUUUGCGACCGGCACUUAUGCAGUUCUAACGCCAUCCUUAGCGUAUGCCGUUUGUGUCAUCGGAUUGAGCUUCUUCUUCUUCCUAACUUAUUCCAUCACAAGGGUGACAUGGGGUUUCCUUAGACACAGCAUUUCGAAUGACAGUGAUGAUGAGGAUGUUGAAAAGGAAAUUUUCUCGUGGAUGAUUGGCGGAAUCUGGUCACGUUUCUUAUUCUUUCUCCCUACUUUGAUGUGGUCACCGUAUUUGAAGCUUCGACGUUUGUUUGAAAAGAUUAGAGUCUCAUUGAAGAAGAAAAUCAUAGUCCCACUGGAGAAGAAAAUUAUAGUCCCGAUGUAGAAGAAAAUCAACCUAUUUAAGCCUGUUUCCGCUCGUUAAAGGCCUUCAACUAUCUCAAAUUCUAUUGCUUGUUGCUUGGUAGCCUUGCCAUUAGUCUCCGUGUCUCAUAUCUGCAGAGGAGUUGGAGCUGGGACUUUCAUAAGUUUCUGCAUCGAUUAGAUUUUUAUCUUUCCCUUCUCUUGUUCUUUUUAAUUUUACUAUUUUAGACAUAUUAGCAAAUAUGAUUUUGGGUUUUUAUGUAAGUGUGGUUUUGUUUGAAUCUAAGAUGAUAAGUGUGGUUUUGUUUGAAUCUAAGAUGA